GACCUAACCCUUAUAGUUUUCACUCUAAGGCAUGGUUAAAAAGACGAGUAAAGCAUAAAAAACCCUCACGGGAUUGCUUUACUCGCCAUAUCGAGAAAUCGGUAUGCUCGCGCAAGCGGG
rnacentral:sRNA from 12 species